rnacentral:rRNA from 1 species
GACGAACGCUGGCGGCGUGCCUAAUACAUGCAAGUCGAGCGGACCUCUUCGGAGGUUAGCGGCGGACGGGUGAGUAACACGUGGGCAACCUGCCUGUAAGACUGGGAUAACUCCGGGAAACCGGAGCUAAUACCGGAUAGUAUCUUGAACCGCAUGGUUCAAGUUGGAAAGACAGUUUCGGCUGUCACUUACAGAUGGGCCCGCGGUGCAUUAGCUAGUUGGUGAGGUAAUGGCUCACCAAGGCAACGAUGCGUAGCCGACCUGAGAGGGUGAUCGGCCACACUGGGACUGAGACACGGCGCAGACUCCUACGGGAGGCAGCAGUAGGGAAGCUUCCGCAAUGGACGAAAGUCUGACGGAGCAGCGCCGCGUGAGUGAUGAAGGUUUUCGGAUCGUAAAACUCUGUUGUUAGGGAAGAACAAGUGCGAGAGUAACUGCUCGCACCUUGACGGUACCUAACCAGAAAGCCACGGCUAACUACGUGCCAGCCGCCGCGGUAAGAC